GUGAAGAACGUAGCGAAAUGCGAUAAGUAAUGCGAAUUGCAGAAUUCAGUGAAUCAUCGAAUCUUUGAACGCACAUUGCGCCCGCCAGUAUUCUGGCGGGCAUGCCUGUCUGAGCGUCGUUUCGACCCUCGCGCCCGGCUUCUGUCGGGGGCGGUGUUGGGGAUCGGCCACACCCUUCAGUGGGAGGCCGGCCCCUAAAUUCAGUGGCGACCACGCUGUAGCCUCCCCUGCGUAGUACUAAAACCACCUCGCAGGCGGAGAGCGGUGCGGCCCGCCGUAAAACCCCCCAACUUUUACAAGGUCGACCUCAGAUCAGGUAGGAAUACCCGCUGAACUUAAGCAUAUCAAUAAGCGGAGGA
rnacentral:misc_RNA from 1 species